rnacentral:rRNA from 1 species
GACGUAGGGUGCAAGCGUUGUCCGGAUUUAUUGGGCGUAAAGAGCUCGUAGGCGGCUUGUUGCGUCGACUGUGAAAACCCGCGGCUUAACCGCGGGCUUGCAGUUGAUACGGGCAGGCUAGAGUUCGGUAGGGGAGACUGGAAUUCCUGGUGUAGCGGUGAAGUGCGCAGAUAUCAGGAGGAACACCGGUGGCGAAGGCGGGUCUCUGGGCCGAUACUGACGCUGAGGAGCGAAAGCGUGGGGAGCGAACAGG